rnacentral:rRNA from 1 species
AUGAACGCUGGCGGCGUGCCUAAUACAUGCAAGUCGAGCGAACGGACGAGAAGCUUGCUUUUCUGAUGUUAGCGGCGGACGGGUGAGUAACACGUGGAUAACCUACCUAUAAGACUGGGAUAACUUCGGGAAACCGGAGCUAAUACCGGAUAAUAUUUUGAACCGCAUGGUUCAAAAGUGAAAGACGGUCUUGCUGUCACUUAUAGAUGGAUCCGCGCUGCAUUGGCUAGUUGGUAAGGUAACGGCUUACCAAGGCAACGAUGCAUAGCCGACCUGAGAGGGUGAUCGGCCACACUGGAACUGAGACACGGUCCAGACUCCUACGGGAGGCAGCAGUAGGGAAUCUUCCGCAAUGGGCGAAAGCCUGACGGAGCAACGCCGCGUGAGUGAUGAAGGUCUUCGGAUCGUAAAACUCUGUUAUUAGGGAAGAACAUAUGUGUAAGUAACUGUGCACAUCUUGACGGUACCUAAUCAGAAAGCCACGGCUAACUACGUG